UUUUUAAAUUAUUAGGUAAUAAUAAACAUAAAACCAAUAUAUUAUGGCGGUUUCAUUAAUAUUAGAGAAACUCGCUUUAUAAUCGAUAAUUCACGAUAAAUUUAACUUAUUUUACAGAAUUUAUAUACCGCCGUUUAAAGACUUUAUUUAUAAAAAUAAAAUUCACAAAUCAAUAAAAACGAAAAAAUCAGGUCAAGGUGUAAUCAAUUAAUAAGAACAAGUAAGUUACAUUAAAAAUAAUUUAAGGAAAAAAUAUAAAAAUAUAAUCAAAAAAGAAUUUAUAAGUAUAUUUAAAUUAAAAUUUUAAAUUGAAAAUAUUUAAUAGAAAUGU
rnacentral:rRNA from 1 species